UGAUGUAGCAUCAACAUUCUCUCUGAACAGUCUAGGCUGCAGGGAAUUUGAGUCUGAAAGUGGAUGCAAUAACAGCUACAGACAAGAUUGAAAAGAAGAUAAAUCGAUUCCAUUGUACAAUGUCUUCAGAACAGGAUUCCAGUUUUGAUAGGAUUCAUGUCCACAUUCAGGGGAAGAUAUCCCAGGUUCUCCAGACAUCCCAGACUGUGGACAGACCUGCUGGUGCACCUACCUAAAUUGCAGUCAGGGCCCGGACAGAUGUGUGAGCAGGUUUUUUGCCUGGAGGAGAGGAUUUUGCGGCUUGUCCGGUAUAUCAGAAAUGACAUUUUGGCAUUGGCUGAUCUGCAGGAUCCAGGCACCGAUCACAAGGAAUACAGACAUGCAUCAUAAAGACAGUAUGUUGUUUGGUAUUAUUGAGCCCUGGGACAAGAACAGAGUACUGAUCCCUAGGGUGUAGAGCUCUCAUGUCCUCACUCCAGAAGACAGCACAGUAAAUCAACUUCUGGCGCCAUCACAUUUACAGUCCAGCAGUACCAUCAGAGACAGCUCCAUGUUCACAGACUGCUAAAUACUUCAAUCCAAAGACUCUGCACGUUACAACACACAACUGCUGCCAUUUCACCACUGCACUAUUCUAUUUAUUUAUUACCUAGUAUGUUUACAUAACAGUUAAACACUUUCCAUGACUACACUGUACUUCAUUCUUCAUUUGGAUCCCAAUUAGGAAAUAUAUUCCAUUUGGUAAUAUCUUUGUAAAAAAAAACUUGUGUGAUUUUUUCCCCAUCGGUCUGGGUGAUAUCAGUUCAGUACUUUAUCAGAAUGUUUUCCUUACACUGUGCUUCUGUUACAUGUAUUUUGUGAAUGUUACAGAGGAUACCUUGUAUUCUUGUUUAUCUCCAUAAUAAACCUUUAUUUGACCUGA